UGAUCACGCCACUGCAUGCCAGCCUGAGUGACCGAGCAACAGAGUGAGACACCAUCUCUUACAGAAAGGAAAAAAAAAAAAAAAAAAGCGGGGGGAGGGAGAGAGAGAUACACAUUAGUCUAAAGUGGAUUUUGUUGGGUCUUCUUAUCUAAGCUGGAAAUACAUUAUGCAUAAUUCACUUUCCUGCAGCGUUCUGGAUUAGAGUCAGCCACCAGAGGCGUGCAUGCAUUACGAUUUGGAAGGCAGAAGUACACCGGCACUUAUUUUCCUGUCACACUCGAAUGCUGGUGCGAGGCACCAGGCAUACUGCGGCUGUUCAAGCAUAUUGACGCCGAUAUUCUGACUCCUUGUGGAAAUGGAGCCGCAUCCUGCCUUGCAGAGCAUCAGCCAGAUCUUGUUUUUUUACUUUCUCGGAAUCAUGCAGGCAGGUGCGGCUGCUGGAGCAGGGAAUGGGCCUGCCGUUUAUUUAGCCCCUAUCAGCUUCCUAGCUCCAGCUGCUCUAAUUGCAGGGCUAGGCGUAUGUUUAGCUCUAUGGCAAGAGCCUCCAGCUUCUCCUGCAUAUCUCAAACCUCAUCAAAAGCUGGCAGCUUGGAGGUAGUGAGACACAGAGGAGAGAUCCAGUUCAUCAAGGCUCAAACAGAAGUGAAAUUCAGGGAUAAAGGAUGGAAGGAUGGCUACCAAAUCACAUUUAAUGACGGAGACAUGAUUUGUCUACGGAAGCUAAAAUGCAACAACCUUCACCUGUAUCUCAGAUUUUCUCACUGUAAAACACAUCUAAUAGCACCCCUUUACAAUGCUGGCUAAAUGCUUGGAUCUGUGUGCAGAAAAGAAAGGUAAACAUUGCUCAAGUCAUGGGAUCUUAGAAACAUCAGUGAAUCUUGGAAUAGCUAUAGCAAAUUAUGUAACAUAUCUAUUUUAUCCUGUGUGACAAACAUACUUUAAGAUAUCAUUUAUUUAACCAAAAACCCUCUGUAUUGAGACUGGCCACAUUUAGACACCACUUAUGUGACCCCAACAAAGUACGUAACCUCUCUGUACCUCAAUUUCUUUAUCUGUAAAAUAGUUAUAGUAACAUUACUCAUCUCACAGGAUUAUUGUAAAGUAUAAAAAUUAUUAUUUAUACUGAACUUUGAUCCUGAAAGUCUGGCUGGAACUUGUAAACUAAAAUAGAAAUAAAGGAAGGAGGGUAGGAUGAAACCAGUAGGGAUGGAG
rnacentral:lncRNA from 1 species